CCAGUAGCUCAAGAAGUCUUCUUUUCUUCCUGCCCAUCACCAUCUGCAGGUUGUCAUCCUCAAGGCCUCCACCAUCUGCAGGGUCUACAAUGCACCACCUUGAUUUGUUGAUUCGGUCUGGAGCAGCAGCAGCAACAGCUCCUUCCUUCCAUGUAGAUGGAGGGCAUGACCUGCACAAGGAGCUCCAAGGAGACAAAGUGAUUGCUAAAAAUGACAGGGAUGAGAUCCACCGCCAAGAAUGAUGCAUAGCUUAACUGCUGUCGUAGUCGAUUUCCAACAGGGAAUACCUUUCUAGACUCCAACCUUCACAGUUCUCGUUGAUUCAUCUUGCUAGCAACUGAGUAGCUUUUUUGCAUACUUCUGUCAACAGCUCAAUGCCACCAAAUGUUUUUUGCCGAUCUUCUCUAUUAUACAACAUCUGUUAUACAUCAUACAGUGCCGAGCUCCUCAUACACCAACCAUUUUACAAACAUAUCAUGAUUGGUAGGAAAUUUUUGAACCUGUAGUAUGUCACCUUGUUUUCCAGAUGGGCAAUAGACGCCGUCAUACUGUACUGUAAUAGUG